GCGACCGUGGCGUAAUUGGUAGCCGCAACAGGUUUAGGUCCUGUCGAGCGCAAGCUUGUGCCAGUUCGAGUCUGGCCGGUCGCACCA
rnacentral:tRNA from 1 species